GACUGUGGCUCAGUGGUUAAGGCUUUGAGCUAUAGAUCUGAAAGUCAUGUGAUCAAAUCCCAGCACUGCCA